GUCGGGAGGAAGGCGGUGAAGUUACUAUCAUUAUCCAUUGACGUUACCGACAGAAGAAGCACCGGCUAACUCCGUGCCAGCAGCCGCGGUAAUACGGAGGGUGCCAGCGUUAAUUGGAAUUACUGGGCGUAAAGCGCACGCAGGCGGUUGAUUAAGUUAGAUGUGAAAUCCCCGGGCUUAACCUGGGAAUUGCAUUUAAAACUGGUUAGCUAGAGUCUUGUAGAGGGGGGUAGAAUUCCAUGUGUAGCGGUGAAAUGCGUAGAGAUGUGGAGGAAUACCGGUGGCGAAGGCGGCCCCCUGGACAAAGACUGACGCUCAGGUGCGAAAGCGUGGGGAGCAAACAGGAUUAGAUACCCUGGUAGUCCACGCUGUAAACGAUGUCGAUUUGAAGGUUGUUGCCUUGAAGAGUGGCUUUUGGAGCUAACGCGUUAAAUCGACCGCCUGGGGAGUACGGCCGCAAGGUUAAAACUCAAAUGAAUUGACGGGGGCCCGCACAAGCGGUGGAGCAUGUUGUUUAAUUUGAUGCAACGCGAAGAACCUUACCUACUCUUGACAUCCAGAGAAUCCUGCAGAGAUGCUUUGGUGCCUUCGGGAACUUUGAGACAGGUGCUGC
rnacentral:rRNA from 1 species